AGCAGUCGCAAGACUGCGGAAGACCUAGUGGCGAACGGGUGCGUAACACGUGAGAAACCUGUCCCGGUCUCUGGAAUAACAAGUGGAAACACUUGCUAAUACCGGAUGACGUCGGACCAUCGCAUGGUGGACUGACGAAAGGGUUACCGGAUCGGGAGGGUCUCGCGGCCUAUCAGCUUGUUGGUGAGGUAACGGCUCACCAAGGCUUCGACGGGUAGCUGGUCUGAGAGGACGAUCAGCCACACUGGCACUGCGACACGGGCCAGACUCCUACGGGAGGCAGCAGUAAGGAAUAUUGCGCAAUGGGCGAAAGCCUGACGCAGCGACGCCGCGUGGGGGAUGAAGGUCUUCGGAUUGUAAACCCCUUUCGGGAGGGAAGAUGGAAUGGGGUAACCCAUUCGGACGGUACCUCCAGAAGCAGCCACGGCUAACUUCGUGCCAGCAGCCGCGGUAAUACGAAGGUGGCAAGCGUUGUUCGGAUUUACUGGGCGUACAGGGAGCGUAGGCGGUUCGGUAAGCCCUUUGUGAAAUCUCCAGGCUUAACCUGGAACAGUCGGAGGGGACUGCUGAGCUAGAGGACGGGAGAGGAGCGCGGAAUUCCCGGUGUAGCGGUGAAAUGCGUAGAGAUCGGGAGGAAGGCCGGUGGCGAAGGCGGCGCUCUGGAACGUUUCUGACGCUG
rnacentral:rRNA from 1 species